UAAUAAGUGUUUUAUGGCACUUUUUAAAUCCAUAUCCACCUUGUGUGCAAUGUCAGUCGAUCUUCAUGGAGAUCGACCAAACAUCAACUUUUAUCUUUUAACUCUUUGUCUUUUAUAAUGCAUAUA
rnacentral:misc_RNA from 1 species